GACGAACGCUGGCGGCGUGCCUAAUACAUGCAAGUAGAACGCUGAAGGAGGAGCUUGCUCUUCUGGAUGAGUUGCGAACGGGUGAGUAACGCGUAGGUAACCUGCCUGGUAGCGGGGGAUAACUAUUGGAAACGAUAGCUAAUACCGCAUAACAGUAGAUGUUGCAUGACAUUUACUUAAAAGGUGCAAUUGCAUCACUACCAGAUGGACCUGCGUUGUAUUAGCUAGUUGGUGGGGUAACGGCUCACCAAGGCGACGAUACAUAGCCGACCUGAGAGGGUGAUCGGCCACACUGGGACUGAGACACGGCCCAGACUCCUACGGGAGGCAGCAGUAGGGAAUCUUCGGCAAUGGACGGAAGUCUGACCGAGCAACGCCGCGUGAGUGAAGAAGGUUUUCGGAUCGUAAAGCUCUGUUGUAAGAGAAGAACGAGUGUGAGAGUGGAAAGUUCACACUGUGACGGUAUCUUACCAGAAAGGGACGGCUAACUACGG
rnacentral:rRNA from 1 species